GAAAUGCGAUAAUUAAUGUGAAUUGCAGAAUUCAGUGAAUCAUCGAGUCUUUGAACGCACAUUGCGCCCCCUGGUAUUCCGGGGGGCAUGCCUGUCCGAGCGUCAUUGCUGCCCUCAAGCACGGCUUGUGUGUUGGGCUUCCGUCCCUGGCAACGGGGACGGGCCCAAAAGGCAGUGGCGGCACCAUGUCUGGUCCUCGAGCGUAUGGGGCUUUGUCACCCGCUCCUGUAGGUCCAGCUGGCAGCUAGCCUCGCAACCAAUCUUUUUAACCAGGUUGACCUCGGAUCAGGUAGGGAUACCCGCUGAACUUAAGC
rnacentral:misc_RNA from 1 species